GAAGGGAGCUUGCUCCCGGAUGUUAGCGGCGGACGGGUGAGUAACACGUGGGUAACCUGCCUGUAAGACUGGGAUAACUCCGGGAAACCGGAGCUAAUACCGGAUAGUUCCUUGAACCGCAUGGUUCAAGGAUGAAAGACGGUUUCGGCUGUCACUUACAGAUGGACCCGCGGCGCAUUAGCUAGUUGGUGGGGUAAUGGCUCACCAAGGCGACGAUGCGUAGCCGACCUGAGAGGGUGAUCGGCCACACUGGGACUGAGACACGGCCCAGACUCCUACGGGAGGCAGCAGUAGGGAAUCUUCCGCAAUGGACGAAAGUCUGACGGAGCAACGCCGCGUGAGUGAUGAAGGUUUUCGGAUCGUAAAGCUCUGUUGUUAGGGAAGAACAAGUGCGAGAGUAACUGCUCGCACCUUGACGGUACCUAACCAGAAAGCCACGGCUAACUACGUGCCAGCAGCCGCGGUAAUACGUAGGUGGCAAGCGUUGUCCGGAAUUAUUGGGCGUAAAGGGCUCGCAGGCGGUUUCUUAAGUCUGAUGUGAAAGCCCCCGGCUCAACCGGGGAGGGUCAUUGGAAACUGGGAAACUUGAGUGCAGAAGAGGAGAGUGGAAUUCCACGUGUAGCGGUGAAAUGCGUAGAGAUGUGGAGGAACACCAGUGGCGAAGGCGACUCUCUGGUCUGUAACUGACGCUGAGGAGCGAAAGCGUGGGGAGCGAACAGGAUUAGAUACCCUGGUAGUCCACGCCGUAAACGAUGAGUGCUAAGUGUUUAAGGGGGUUUCCGCCCCUUAGUGCUGCAGCUAACGCAUUAAGCACUCCGCCUGGGGGAAUACGGUCGCAAGACUGAAACUCAAAGGAAUUGACGGGGGCCGCAC
rnacentral:rRNA from 1 species